CCUUGGAUGCAGGGAGUCUGCCAAAGAGCUGGUUCCAUGAUUUUAACUACAAUGUCCAGGUUUUGAAGGACUGAAGAACUCCUUCAAAUGAAAAGAUACUCUGUAGACCUGGAAACCAAACGCAGCUUACUUCUUCACACUGGGUCGUUUGCUGUGAAGGACGUUAUUGUGACCAGAGGGUUCUUGCAGUAGAUCCUCCAUUUGUAGUCUCCAAUGUGAUCUUUCUUGUCGCUCAUUACAAAGACUUCCUGGGCAUCCACGGCCUCCACCUCUGCAGAGUAUUGUCACCAUUCUAGGCCAGGGCUGGCCGCUGCACACGCCGCCUGCUGGACUGCUGAUGUCACUCUUCUUCCACAGUUCCGGCCCAGCUCACUGUGGGAAGAUGUGGGGAAGUCUGAAUGCUGCCACAUCAUCAUGCUCCUUGCCUUUGGAAUUCCCCAGGAGUGAAAUACGUGUUAAAACUUUGUCUCUUUCAACAUCAGAACAGCGUUGGGGAG